GGUUUUACCCCUCUUUCAUUUUUGUUUGCAGCCUGUUGCUCCCGUUUGAAAGGUGCUUUUUGGUGUUUUUGGUUGAGCUUUGGCCACGUUGCGUUUUGUAGGAAAGAUACUGGAAGAGCAUUACACAUUUACUUCCACUUCCAGCAUCUUCCACUUUUUCAUUUCCUUUUCUUUUCUUCUCUCUGUUUUUCCAUCUCUCUUUGCGUUUCUCUGUGUGUGACUCGCUGUUUUUAUCACGAUCCGAUCGUUUAGAAGGGUGGUUGAUCUGUUUUUUCCCGUUGUUUUCCGCAGAGGAAUCACAACGAUUUGGGUGCGUUGGUUGUUGUGUGCCGUUAUUCUGUGCUUGGUUGGAAACGUUUAUCUUCCAACUUUAGGGUUUUGUUGUGGGGGUUUGCAAACCCUUUAUGGGCUAGAUUGCAGAGCCAUUGGAGAGAGGACUUGCUGAGGACAUUGAAAAUGUAUAUAAGCUACAGUGUUCGUUUCUGCAUUGCAGUGAACGCUUAAAGGAAAAUGUGCUCUUAUGAGAUAUUCCAUGUUCAAGUAAUUAUACAAAUGAAGCACUGGGAUGACUGUCAAUGAGGAAUACUUGACUAGCUAUUUUUGUAUAUCAAUGACAAGGCAUUUGACAAUGUCUUUUCUGUAAGUCAUAUAAACUUAGACAACUUUGUAAAAAUAUUUGCUCCAUUUUCUACAUGUUUAUCUUAGUCUUUGGUUAUUUA